rnacentral:rRNA from 1 species
UACAGAGGGGGCAAGCGUUGUUCGGAAUUACUGGGCGUAAAGGGCGCGUAGGCGGCCUGCUAAGUCGAACGUGAAAUCCCUGGGCUCAACCCAGGAACUGCGUCCGAUACUGGUUGGCUUGAAUCCGGGAGAGGGACGUGGAAUUCCAGGUGUAGCGGUGAAAUGCGUAGAUAUCUGGAGGAACACCGGUGGCGAAGGCGGCAUCCUGGACCGGCAUUGACGCUGAUGAGCGAAAGCUAGGGGAGCAAACGGG